UUAAUUGCCAUCAUUUAGUUGGGCACUUUAAUGGGACUGCCGGUGACAAACCGGAGGAAGGNGGGGAUGACGUCAAGUCCUNNNNGCCCUUAUGGNCAGGGCUUCACACGUAAUACAAUGGUCGGUACAGAGAGNNGNNAACCCGCGAGGGGGAGCCAAUCUCAGAAAGCCGAUCGUAGUCCGGAUUGUAGUCUGCAACUCGACUACAUGAAGUCGGAAUCGCUAGUAAUCGCGGAUCAGCAUGUCGCGGUGAAUACGUUCCCGGGCCUUGUACACACCGCCCGUCGCACCAUGGGAGUGGGUUUUACCAGAAGUAGUUAGUCUAACCGCAAG
rnacentral:rRNA from 1 species